rfam:Salmonella enterica plasmid C10C-VLA genotype trbA-pndC-5 TrbA (trbA) gene, partial cds; and disrupted PndC (pndC) and finQ genes, partial sequence.
GGGCGCUUGAGGCUGUAUGCCGAAAGCGUUUUGUGGACGGUAUACAGCAGAAAGCCCCUGGAGAUUUUUUUAUCAAUCAACCAAGGGCUCUACUGUAAUGCCUCAACAACAUUAUAGUAGCCUGAUAAUUUAGAUAUGUGUACAUCCUACCGGAAAAGAUA